GCUUGCUUCUCUUGAGAGCGGCGGACGGGUGAGUAAUGCCUAGGAAUCUGCCUGGUAGUGGGGGAUAACGUCCGGAAACGGACGCUAAUACCGCAUACGUCCUACGGGAGAAAGCAGGGGACCUUCGGGCCUUGCGCUAUCAGAUGAGCCUAGGUCGGAUUAGCUAGUUGGUGGGGUAAUGGCUCACCAAGGCGACGAUCCGUAACUGGUCUGAGAGGAUGAUCAGUCACACUGGAACUGAGACACGGUCCAGACUCCUACGGGAGGCAGCAGUGGGGAAUAUUGGACAAUGGGCGAAAGCCUGAUCCAGCCAUGCCGCGUGUGUGAAGAAGGUCUUCGGAUUGUAAAGCACUUUAAGUUGGGAGGAAGGGCAGUAAAUUAAUACUUUGCUGUUUUGACGUUACCGACAGAAUAAGCACCGGCUAACUCUGUGCCAGCAGCCGCGGUAAUACAGAGGGUGCAAGCGUUAAUCGGAAUUACUGGGCGUAAAGCGCGCGUAGGUGGUUCGUUAAGUUGGAUGUGAAAUCCCCGGGCUCAACCUGGGAACUGCAUUCAAAACUGACGAGCUAGAGUAUGGUAGAGGGUGGUGGAAUUUCCUGUGUAGCGGUGAAAUGCGUAGAUAUAGGAAGGAACACCAGUGGCGAA
rnacentral:rRNA from 1 species